GACGAACGCUGGCGGCGUGCCUAAUACAUGCAAGUAGAACGCUGAAGGAGGAGCUUGCUUCUCUGGAUGAGUUGCGAACGGGUGAGUAACGCGUAGGUAACCUGCCUGGUAGCGGGGGAUAACUAUUGGAAACGAUAGCUAAUACCGCAUAACAGUAGAUAUCGCAUGAUAUCUACUUGAAAGGUGCAAUUGCAUCACUACCAGAUGGACCUGCGUUGUAUUAGCUAGUUGGUGAGGUAACGGAUCACCAAGGCGACGAUACAUAGCCGACCGGAGAGGGGGAUCGGCCACACUGGGACUGAGACACGGCCCAGACUCCUGCGGGAGGGAGCAGUAGGGAAUCUUCGGCAAUGGACGGAAGUCUGACCGAGCAACGCCGCGUGAGUGAAGAAGGUUUUCGGAUCGUAAAGCUCUGUUGUAAGAGAAGAACGAGUGUGAGAGUGGAAAGUUCACACUGUGACGGUAUCUUACCAGAAAGGGACGGCUAACUACGUG
rnacentral:rRNA from 1 species